UACGGAGGGUGCAAGCGUUAAUCGGAAUUACUGGGCGUAAAGCGCACGUAGGUGGUUUGUUAAGCUAGAUGUGAAAGCCCCGGGCUCAACCUGGGAGGUGCAUCCGAUACUGGGUAGCUAGAGUGUAGUAGAGGGAGGUGGAAUUUCCGGUGUAGCGGUGAAAUGCGUAGAGAUCGGAAGGAACACCAGUGGCGAAGGCGGCCUCCUGGACUAACACUGACGCUGAGGUACGAAAGCGUGGGGAUCAAACAGG
rnacentral:rRNA from 1 species